rnacentral:rRNA from 1 species
AUUGAACGCUGGCGGCAUGCCUUACACAUGCAAGUCGAACGGCAGCACGGGAGCAAUCCUGGUGGCGAGUGGCGAACGGGUGAGUAAAGUAUCGGAACGUGCCCAGUCGUGGGGGAUAACGUAGCGAAAGUUACGCUAAUACCGCAUACGAUCUAUGGAUGAAAGCGGGGGAUCGCAAGACCUCGCGCGAUUGGAGCGGCCGAUAUCAGAUUAGGUAGUUGGUGGGGUAAAGGCUCACCAAGCCGACGAUCUGUAGCUGGUCUGAGAGGACGGCCAGCCACACUGGGACUGAGACACGGCCCAGACUCCUACGGGAGGCAGCAGUGGGGAAUUUUGGACAAUGGGCGAAAGCCUGAUCCAGCCAUGCCGCGUGCAGGAUGAAGGCCUUCGGGUUGUAAACUGCUUUCGUACGGAACGAAAAGGUUUGGCCUAAUAAGCUGAGCUCAUGACGGUACCGUAAGAAUAAGCACCGGCUAACUACGUGCCAGCCGCCGCAGUAA